CCUACGGGGGGCAGCAGUGAGGAAUAUUGGGCAAUGGGCGGGAGCCUGAACCAGCCAAGCCGCGUGAAGGAAGAAGGCGCUAAGCGUCGUAAACUUCUUUUGUCGGGGAACAAAGGGCGCCACGUGUGGCGUUGUGAGUGUACCCGAAGAAAAAGCAUCGGCUAACUCCGUGCCAGCAGCCGCGGUACUACGGAGGAUGCGAUCGUUAUCGGGUUUGAUUGGGUUUAAAGGGUGCGUAGGCGGUCCGGAAAGUCAGCGGUAAAAGCCCGGGGCGCAACCCCGGCGAGCCGUUGAAACUGUCGGACUAGAGACGGCGAGAAGAACGCGGAAUGCGCGGUGUAGCGGUGAAAUGCAUAGAUA
rnacentral:rRNA from 1 species